GAUGAAGAACGUAGCGAAAUGCGAUAAGUAAUGUGAAUUGCAGAAUUCAGUGAAUCAUCGAAUCUUUGAACGCACAUUGCGCCCCCCGGCAUUCUGGGGAGCAUGCCUGUUCGAGCGUCUCCAGGACGAAUCCUCGCGCGAGUGAACGCGCGGUCGUGGCGGAGGUGGCGUGCCCGAGCAGGGCGGCCACCGCGCUGGAAUCCAUGGGCGGACGCCUGCCGCGUGGCCGAGCGUGAUAUGACGCAUUGGCGCUCGUGCGCGGCGAGGCUGCCAGCCCUGGCCCGUCUGUCGGGCGGGGUAGAUCACCACGUGGGAACUCCUCGAAUCAGGUAGGGAUACCCGCUGAACUUAAGCAUAUCAAUAAGCGGAGGA
rnacentral:misc_RNA from 1 species